UUGUCACGGAGGCACCGGAAACGAAGGUUCACCUGAAGUGGAACACAAACAUCGAUCGACGGAGGCACCGCGAGUUUCAGCUCUCUUGUCCGCCCGAUUGCGGGCUACUUCAAGUGGUUUGAGAGGAGAUUACUGGACAAAAAGGUCGCCCGAAGUCUCGGAAACAAGCCCAACCAGUUUCCUUAAUCCAGCGGAUACCCCGCACAC